rnacentral:lncRNA from 1 species
AUGAAGGGUCCUGAAACAGCAGCGCCUCAUAUCUCUCCCAACCUCACAAUGCUUCAAUCCACAACUCUUGGAUCAUACAAUUUAGGUUCUCAGUGGUUGUGGUGGGCUUAGCUGGAGGCUUAUGGGUGUGUGCAGCUCGUUAUCAUCGUGAUGCAUGUGUGUGGAUCCGUAAACCUGUGGGGAUGAUAAUUUAUGUUUAUUGGU